GCGUGAGGGCCAACCAGUAUGGGACACCCUGGGAGUCCACGGGUGAAACGAUGAGUACUAGGUGUCGGGGGUUACCCCCUUCGGGGCCGCAGCUAACGCAUUAAGUACUCCGCCUGGGAAGUACGCUCGCAAGAGGGAAACUCAAAGGAAUUGACGGGGACCCGAACAAGUAGCGGAGCAUGUGGUUUAAUUCGAAGCAACGCGAAGA
rnacentral:rRNA from 1 species